rnacentral:lncRNA from 1 species
AAUUACUUUCCCUUCUUCUCUCCUUUUUAUAUUUCUCCAUUCAUUAUCUCUCUUUAUACCCCUUUACCAACCCCAUCAGAGUUGUACAAUAGAAUGCACGACAACAAACCUUCGAUCCUCAUCCCUCCACAGGCGAUAAUGGUUGUGGUGGAAUGUAUGGCAACAAAUCUGCUUUUCAUGACGGCAGUACACCUGUUGUACUUGAAGUCGCACAAACACACAACCACGAUAGGCGACACGUAGUGGCAUCGUCGUAGCUAAGCGUACGCCGCUCAUCAUUGUUAUUCUCACCGUUUGAAUUAGAGGCAGAUCGAAAUUUCCUUUCAUUGCUCAUUAGAGGCCUUCCAGCCGCCGGCUUUAUUUAUCUUUUUUUUUAUUCUAUAGUGGCAAGAGUUUUUGAAUAGAUUUGCAGUGUAUUGAGGUGGCGACUGUGGUGUAGGUGCAGGUGGCAGUAGCUAGUUUGGUUUUUUCUUUUUUUCUUUUUUAGGUGGCGGUGGUAGAGUGUUGAGGUGUAGAUAUAGGUGGUAGUAGAGGUGAAGGACAUAAUGGAUUUGAGGAGAUGGUGGAGGUGAUAAUGGUUGGUAUAGGCGUUGUUGAUGCAGUUGGAGGUUGUGGUAUUGGUGGUGGUAGUGUAGCUGUCGUAUUUGGAGGUAGUGUUGGUUGUCAUCAUUGUCGUUGCGAUGGUCUUGGCGAUAGUACUGCUAGAGGAAAUGGUAAGAUAGUGGUGGUCACAAAUUGUUUUGUUGAUUUUUACCAAUAAAUUGAUUAAUGUGUUACCAAUGAAAUAGAUAAAC